rnacentral:rRNA from 1 species
UACGUAGGAUGCAAGCGUUGUCCGGAAUUAUUGGGCGUAAAGAGCGCGCAGGCGGUCUGCCAAGUCAGAUGUGAAAGAGGCCGGUUUAACCGGCAAGGGUCAUUUGAAACUGACAGACUAGAGUGCAGCAGAGGAUAGCGGAAUUCCCGGUGUAGUGGUGAAAUGCGUAGAUAUCGGGAGGAACACCAGUGGCGAAGGCAGCUCGCUGGGACGGUACUGACGCUGAGACGCGAAAGCGUGGGGAGCAAACAGG